rnacentral:rRNA from 1 species
AUGAACGCUGGCGGCGUGCCUAAUACAUGCAAGUCGAACGAGACUCUUGGAGUAAUCUGGGAGGAAAGUGGCGGACGGGUGAGUAACACGUAGCUGACCUGCCCUUCAGCGGGGGACAACGACUGGAAACGGUCGCUAAUACCGCGUACGCUUGGGGUGUUUAGAAAGCCUCAAGGAAAGCCUGCGAAGGCGCUGAAGGAGGGAGCUGCGGGCCAUCAGGUAGUUGGUGGGGUAACGGCCUACCAAGCCAACGACGGAUAGGGGGCCUGAGAGGGUGACCCCCCACACUGGAACUGAGAGACGGUCCAGACUCCUACGGGAGGCAGCAGUAAGGGAUAUUGCGACAAUGGGCGAAAGCCUGACGCAGCAACGCCGCGUGAGGGAUGACGGCCUUCGGGUUGUAAACCUCUUUUCAGGGUGAAGAGGAAGGACGGUAGCCCUGGAAUAAGUCUCGGCUAACUACGU